rnacentral:lncRNA from 1 species
CAUUACUUCAAAGGAAGCACAAAGGAAAAACAAUAUAUAUUUUGACUUCUCACUUUAACCAAUAAGUUGAUGGUACAGUAGGAAAAAAAAAUCUAAUAUUUAUUUUCAGAACUCAAGAGUCAACAGACCUGACUUUCAUCCUUGUUUGAUACUGAAUUGAACUGAGGAGCUCAGAUUCAUUCACAUGGACAUUCAGAUUCAAGCAUUGAGCUGGUGGAGUAUUCUGAGAUGAAGCUGGCCUGGUGUCACUAGAAUCCUUGCUUGGACAGAUCUUGUGCCUGAGCUUGGUUUCAGAUAGGAAUUAUAUCAAGGAGAAGGCAAGAAAGCAAGUAGAGAGAAAGGUAAGGAUAUUCCUACUAAGUUUUAUUAGCAGUUUAAUUAAAUUUUCAUUA